rnacentral:rRNA from 1 species
GGGUUGUGAGGUUAAGCGACUAAGCGUACACGGUGGAUGCCCUGGCAGUCAGAGGCGAUGAAGGGCGUGCUAAUCUGCGAUAAGCGCCGGUAAGGUGAUAUGAACCGUUAUAACCGGCGAUACCCGAAUGGGGAAACCCAGUGUGAUUCGUCACACUAUCAUUAACUGAAUCCAUAGGUUAAUGAGGCGAACCGGGGGAACUGAAACAUCUAAGUACCCCGAGGAAAAGAAAUCAACCGAGAUUCCCCCAGUAGCGGCGAGCGAACGGGGAGGAGCCCAGAGCCUGAAUCAGCAUGUGUGUUAGUGGAAGCGUCUGGAAAGACGCGCGAUACAGGGUGACAGCCCCGUA